CAGUCGCCGCGGUAAUACGGAGGGAGCUAGCGUUGUUCGGAAUUACCGGGCGUAAAGCGCACGUAGGCGGCUUGGUAAGUUAGAGGUGAAAGCCUGGAGCUCAACUCCAGAAUUGCCUUUAAGACUGCCGAGCUAGCAGGUGAGAGAGGUAAGUGGAAUUCCGAGUGUAGAGGUGAAAUUCGUAGAUAUUCGGAAGAACACCAGUGGCGAAGGCGGCUUACUGGCUCAUACUGGACGUUGAGGUGCGAAAGCGUGGGGAGCAAACAGGAUUAGAUACCCGCGUAGUCCCUGUCUCUUAUAC
rnacentral:rRNA from 1 species